rnacentral:lncRNA from 1 species
GCCUCCUCACCCCAAGCCCUGCCCUUGGAGAAACCCCUUCCUCCCUGCUGUCUGCCGGGGUUCGGGGUGACUCCGCAGAGCCAGAGGCGCGUGGACUGCGCCGCUGCGCACUGGUCCGCCCGCCGGGUCUUCUGGAGCUGAGGACUCGGAAACCAUGCAAUUGAGGCGAGACUUGGGCUGCUUUGGAGGCGCUGACAUCCGAGGAGACUUCUCCUGGGACUGACUGAACAAUGUUUGGGAGAAGCAGAAGAGGAGGGCAUAGAGCAGCUCUGCCUGACCAGGAGCUGGGAGGGGCCCAGCUCUGAGGCCUCCCCACACCUAUCUUCUUGCAAGGAACUGGAUGUCACCGGAGAGAAGUUGAAAAAUGAAAAAGGAUAAAUUUUUCCCUUUCCCCAUCCAGGAAAUAGCCAAAGGAGGCCCAACAGCCAAGCUGAGCCCACUCGGCUCCACGGACGAUCCGAGGGGGGCGAAGCCUGCCCUGGAAGGCCAAGUGAGCUCCUCAGUGCGGGGCCGUCUCCAGAAAACAGUCUUCAGUGUGUAUUUCCUUUUAUCGUCCACCCGGAGCCCCACGGCAGCUAAUGCUAGAGGCCAAAAAUGUUUUGGAGGAAGAAAAACAAAGGCAGGAAGUGGCGGCAGCCUGACGGUGCGUGUGUGUCUGCGGAGACGAAGGGAGGGAGCUGUUUCAAUCUCUUCUUGUUUUUCCAAACUUGAAGGUCUAGGCUGCCCUCGAAGAGCCGGCCCUCGCUCCCCGGCGCAGCGUUUGGAGAUGGCCACCCGGAGAGGAGCAGGCUGGCGCCCGAGCCAGCCUUGUCAGGCGGAAACGGCUAACGAGGCGAUUUGCUCAGCAAAGCAGACCAAGCCAUUCUCAACUUCGUUUGAUUUGGCCCUAAAAGUGGGGGGUUGGGGGAUUCUGCAGCGUCUCCUGGACCCUCCUCUGCGGGCAGGCUGAGUGCGCCUUGGCGGAGAUUGGUGAGCCCUGCGAGCCAUGCUCCAUGCACCCUUCCAGGCAGGAUAUCAUAUCGGAAUAAAGUGUGUCCAGGUGCCUCUGCCCA